CGUCAGCUAAAAAAUUAUACACCGUUCGAUACACAUCCCACGGCUCUCCUCCCUUCCGCCGCCGGCCGAACCCCGCCUCCUCCUUCCCACCGCCGUCCCGUCCCCGGCUGCUCCUCCUCCUCCUCCCCGCCAUCCCCGUCCCCGGCUGCUCCUCCUCCUCCCCCCUCCCCGCCGCCGACGCGGCAACCAAGCUCGGCGGGCUUUAGCCCGAGCUUGCCUCCACUCCGCCGGCGACGCUCCCUCCCCGGCCAGAUCCGGCCGGCCGCCGCUCCUCCAGCCCUCCCCGCGGCCGGAUACGGCGGCGGCGCCCACAGAUCGGCCGGUGGAGGCAUGGAUCGAGCGGCGGCGGGCGGAGGCGUGAGCGCGGGCGCGGCUGGAGCUGGGCGGGCGUGCGAGCACGCGGGAGGCGAGCACCGAGCAGCGCGGAGCACGGUGCUCGGCGCGAGGCCGAGGCCCGGGACACGACGCGGUUGGAGGUAGGGCAGCGCGGCUGCGCGCGACGCGGGGGGCCAUGGUCGCGGCGGCGGCGGCGGUGGCGGCGGCUCGGGCGUGCACGAGCAGGUGCGGGCGGCGCACGAGCAGGAGGCCGGUAGGCGCGGGCGCGGCCAGCGAGGCUGCGCGUCUGCGGCUGCGUGCAGGACCAGCGGCCGGUGCCGGCGCGGAGCAGCUCGCCCGCUCGGCAAUCGCUGCCUCACCUCCACCUCCCUGCUCCUGCUUGCCUCCCUCGCCGCCCUGCCUGUGGCCGCCCUCGAAGGCACACGGCCGUGCACGGUCGGCGGCGCUCCCCACGCGGCGGCGGCGGAGCUCCGCACGUGCGCGCAGCGGCGCUCCCCGCGCGGCGGCUUCGGAGCUCCGUACGCGGCUCGCAGCCCGCGUCGCCACCGCGCCCGCGCCAGCCGCCGCACGCCAAUCGCGCCACCUCAACCCGCAGUUCCCCGGCCGGCGUCGCCUAGCCUCGCCUCCGUCCGAGGCUCGCGGCUCGCAUCACCUCCGCGCUCCCGCCUGCCACCUCUCGCGUCGCCUCCGUCCGCGGCUCGCGGCCUGCAUCCCCACGGCAGUCGCGCCGGCCGCCUGCCGCCGACGCUGCUGUCCCUGACGCCACCGAUGUUGCGACGCCAAGCAGGGCAAGGCGGCCGGGCGCGCCUCAUUCAGCCCCUCCCCUCCUUGACCUCCCUCCCCUCUGCUCCUGCGUUCCCAAGGGCAGCAAGCCUCGCCGGCUAGCCGGCCGCGGCUUCCGUCCGUCCCUCCCCCAACCCCAAGCUCCCAGAGAAGGAUCGGUUGCAGCUCCAUGGUCAUGAGGCCAUGCAUCGGUCUGUGCUAGAGCUAGACCGUGGAAGGAGCAGCGGGCAGCCGCAGCAAUGCCUGGCCAUGGGAAUUCCAAGUCAUCACGAUUCAAAGUGCAUACAGCCAUACACCACGGAAACAGCUUGUAAAGUGUUCGACAGAAUGCUCAUGAGGAGAAUAGGGACAGCAACAUGAGGAUAGUGGUUGUCUGAUCUCCCUGUUGUGCUCUAAUAACCACAUCAAGAGCAUGCCUACUUCUCUACCAGGAUCUCCUGAACCUUGGCAACAUAUUAUUGGAAGUGAAGUCCAAGAAGACACACAGUGGCUAUAAAAGAUGGAGGAGAGCACCUGGCUCCUCCAUGACCUGAAAAUGGGCGAAUAAAGUUGUAGGUGGAUAAAUGGUUAGAAAAUUUGAACUAGAGAUAAAAUAUGAUCCAAAUGGAAUUUCAGAGAAUGCAGCUUCACUUAUCCAAGCAGGUUAAAUGGCAGAGAUUUCUUCCAGAAUAAGUGGAAUGUGGCAUGUAUGGCCUGAGCACGCCAAUGCACAGCUCUGGUGAGGCCCUACCUCACCAGCAUCGGGGCACCGGCAGUAGGCUGACAACAGAGGUGGUGCACAGGUAGACGAAAUUAUAGAUGUGAGAUAAAACAACAUUUAUAUUGGCUCAACCCUGCUAACUAGAGUAUCUCUGCAGCACCUUUAGUUCGGUAAGUUUCGCUUACUCCAUGCAUGAUCUAUGCUAGGACCAUUAACUGCUACUACUUAUUUCCAUUUCCUUUGAAAAAAUAUUGCUGUGUUCAUUUAUAUCAAUUCACAUCAACAUAGCUUGUGAUAUUGAUGUAAGAUGGUCUAGGCUUAGUGUUCUUUAGCUCUAUAAAAUAUUUAUAGGGAGAGCUUAUAUAACUAUAUGUUUGCAUACUACUGAGAGCUCCAUCGAGAGCUCCUAUAUCAUAUUAAAUUAUUAAGAGUUCCUAUAUCCUCAUUGUUCCAAAAAAACUAACUGCAUCUAGAGUUAAUGAGUCCAAGAAUUCAUUCAUGGUGGACAUUCAUAUGUGAAAGAUCUUUCAGACAAUUGGUUUAACAGACCCAUGUAAAAUUCCCCGCAGAAGGAAUAUAGUUUUCAAUGAAACACUAAUAUUUGUUACCAUUCAAAGCACUAAUAUUUUUAACUAAAUUUCAUAGUUUACAAAAUUCUAAAUAACCAAAUUGAUACAAAGUAAAUAUGAGCGCGCGCGAAGGCGCGCGUAAUGUACUCGUUGCUGUGUAUAGCUGCUGAUAUUGCUGCACUUGGCACUGCUGAUAUUGCUGCUAGUACUAGACUGCUAUAGUACUGAAAGGUCUCCUUUAGAGUUUAAGAGCUCUACAACAAGAUAACCCAUGCAUGUUUAACUUCUAAAAAUAUGCCUUUUCAAAAUAGAUGUAUUCUCUUCAGUUAGAGGCCUCUGGCACAAGUGAGAGCACUGAUAAUAGUUCGUCACAAACACCAAAUUGAAGGGCACCAAUCUGGGAGUAUUAUGAGCCGGAAUUGGUCAGGAUAGAUGGUGCACUAAAAGCAAUUUGCAAGUAUUGUGGAACAAAGUUGAUUGCAAACAGGAAAUCAGGUACAAACAGCCUUAGAACUCACAUUGUAGAGUACUGCCCCAAAGUCCCUAGUGAUGAUAGGAACAGAUUUGUCGCUACAAUGAAGAAAAAGCCAGAUGGUCCAUUCACCUUUAAUAAGCAGAGAAGUCACGACCUGAUGAUUGCAUGGAUUGUUAGAGCUGAUGUAGCAUUCAACAAGUUUGAUGAUGAAGGUUUUGAGCCUUGGAUGGAGUCAUUGCAACCCACUUUUAGCGGCAUAGGGAGACAAACGAUUCGUAAUGAUUGUGUUGCUAAGUUUGAGAGAGCAAAGAUAGAAUUACGAAGUGAACUUCAGAGUCUUAGCUCUCGCAUAUGCUUCACUUCGGAUCUUUGGACAUCAAACCAAAAGUUGGGAUAUCUUUGUGUUACAGCCCACUAUAUUGGCCUUGAUUUUGUUUUGAAGAAAAAGAUAAUUGCAUUUAAGGAUGUGAAGUAUCCACAUACAUGUGUUGCUAUUGAGGAAGCCAUUACAACUGUUCUGACAGACUAUGGAAUCAAAGAGAAGAUGUUCACAAUAACACUGGACAAUGCAGCAAACAACAAGACAGCUUGCGAUCUUCUGUAAGAAAGCGGAAAGCAAGACAUGUUAUUUGGUGGUGAGCAUCUUCUUGUUAGAUGUUGUGCUCAUAUACUCAACAUUCUUGUGCAAGACGGUAUGAAUGUUGCUAGUGCUGUGAUAGAAUUGAUAAGAGACCUGAUUAGGAACAUUAACUCAUCACCAACGCAUAUCCAGAAUUUCAAUGAGAUAGCUCAAAGAGAAGGUCUUGCUGCAAAGGCUGGUUUAGUCCUUGAUGUUCCAAAUCGUUGGAACUCAACAUAUGCCAUGAUUAUGGAGGCAGCAAAGUACAAGCCGUCUUGAAGCGAUAUGCCACAGCAAACCAGCAACCAUUUCCAACUGAAUUUGAGUUUAGUAUAGUUGAGUCCAUUGGUGAAUUCCUUGGAGUUUAUGAAGAAACUACCAGGGCAUUCUCAGCUGAUAGAUAUCCAACAUCCCACAUGUUCCUGGGUAAUGUGCUUUGCAUCCAUCAAACUCUGAGAAGUCCAUAAUGGCACAAGGAUCAGUUUAUCACUGAUUUGGCAAAUACAAUGGAUAAGAAAUUUGAUAAGUAUUGGAAUGGAAAUUACAAUAUGCUCCUUCCUAUUUGCAGCAUACUUGAUCCAAGAAAGAAACUUGACCUCCUUGACUUCUUCUAUGAGAAGGUGUGCAGCAACUUUAUUGACAUUGAAAUUAGCACAAACAUGGUUAAAGAGUGGCUUCACAAGUAUUUUAGGAAGUAUGAAGAGGUUAUAAGAAGAAAUGAAACAAAUGUGGUGUCACAAACUGCACAGUCCACAAGCAUGGUGAACCGUUGUCCAGUGCUAGUGCUUGGAAAAAGAAGACUGGAACAAGAAUUUGCUGAAUACAGGAAUCGGAGGAGAGGGACUAGGAUUGAAAAAUCAGAACUUGAUGCAUAUCUAGAAGAGCCACCAGUGAGACCAGAUGAAAGAUUUGAAAUUCUGACUUGGUGGAAAACAAACUCCAACAAGUAUCCUGUGCUGUCAGCAAUGGCACGUGAUUUUUUAGCAAUUCCAUUCAGCACUGUUUCGUCUGAAUCUGCAUUCAGCUUGAGCGGUUGGAUUCUUAGUGACAAUCGAAGCUCAAUGAAAUCAGAAACUCUUCAAGCUUUGGUCUGUUGCAAAGAUUGGUUGUACACAUAUCCCACCAAUGAAGUGAGUUAGGGAAUUCUGAGAAGCUUAUCCUUUGCACGUGUCCAGCAGGACCUUGUUCAUACCUGAUACAGGAUUCAUGAGCGCCACACCUGCAGCAAGCAGUAGCCUACAAGCAGCUCUAUCAUACUGCGUUAAGCAAGUCCGCAGCUAUGACUACCACCACCUCCACCUGCCCCCAGCCAUGCGCAAGGCUGCAUUCACCUUUCGGGCCUUCAAUGUCGAGACGGAAAAAGCCAUGGACGUUCUGAAACUAAUUUUGUUGCAGGAUUGAAUCUUUGGAGAUGAGUUGAGGAGCCCAUUGGAUAUCAUACAUCUUGCGCUUUCCAUUUGAUAAAAGAUAAAAGAUUGUAGCUUUCCUUUCCUAUUAGAACAGAAGGGCCAUGUACGGGCCAUGUACUGUGAUUAUUUGUGUUUGUAUGUGUCUGAAGGUUUAUGAUUUAAAUCGAUUGACCAAGUUCCUGUAAACUGUGAGAAUAUCAUAGAAAUAUACUGGCAUAUUUCAA